GGGGCAAGAGGUCUCCUGAGGGGGCGGGAGGCUCCAGCCUCCGGGACACAGAGAUGCGGAAACCUCCAGAUGCCUAGAAGGGUCGGAGGUGAUUCAGCAUCCCAUUAGGAACUUCCACACCAAACUCAAGGAAGAGAUCAGGCAAGAUUUGUGCUGGGCAGAUCUUUGAAGUGAGGCUGUCUGUGCUGGGCAGGUGAGACCUAUGCUGUGAAAUUUGUUAUCUGGGGACAGGAAUCCUACAUGCUAGAGAAAGGGGACCACAGCUGAAAGGGAGGAUUUCUGGAUGGCUAUUUACUGAGGAGGAAAGAAGCAGAGAAGUGGGAGUGGGGCCUCUGAACC
rnacentral:lncRNA from 1 species